GCUGGCGGCGUGCUUAACACAUGCAAGUCGAACGAGAACGGUUUUCUUCGGAGGACCUAUUAAAGUGGCGCACGGGUGAGUAACACGUAGAUAAUCUACCCAGGUGUUUGGGAUAACUGACCGAAAGGUUAGCUAAUACCGGAUACGUUCACGAUUUCGCAAGAUAACGUGAAGAAAGAUGGCCUCUUCUUGAAAGCUAUCGCAUUUGGAUGAGUUUGCGUACCAUUAGCUAGUUGGUGGGGUAAGAGCCUACCAAGGCUACGAUGGUUAGCGGGUCUGAGAGGAUGACCCGCCACACUGGAACUGGAACACGGACCA
rnacentral:rRNA from 1 species